GGACCCUGAGGGGGCUCGCACCUGUCACCACCAGCUCCAGGGGGUCACUGCGCUCUGACAAGCCAGCAGGGCUUCGAUAGGAACAGUGAUACCGUCCUGCAUGUCUAUCUGUCAUGUGUGUGAUGGAGAACUUGGCCUUGUUCCCAGGCUCUAGUGUGGGCUGUCUGUCCAGGUACACUGAGCCUUCCUCUUUAUACACAUGGAGCUUCUGGGCCUCCAGGGUCCCCUGACACCAGAUGUUCACAGCGCUACCCCAGGGGACCACAGAGCCUGGCUCAGCCCAGAUGGAGGGUGUGGGGAGGGUCCCUGGAAGGAAACAGAGGCUGUAUCACAAGACCUUCCCCACCCUCAGUUCUUAGCUCAGCCCCAAACCCCCAGACGUCCCCUCUCCAUCUGCCCAGAACUGCUGUCCUCCAUUCCCAGCUGCCUGGUGGGUGAUCCCCGUCCCCAGUGAGGAGGUGGGAUGGGACACCUGGGGACACACUCACCUGCCUGCACUUGGGUCCUGGGUUCCACACUCAGACCUGGAAGAGAGUCCCUGUGAGAGAAUGGCCCAGAGUCCUGAGCAAUACCCCUCCUCCCGAUGACCCUCCUGUGCCUGAGGUCUUUGACUGCCCAGGGCCUGGUUGUGGGGUGGGUCCCUCCCAGACUAGGGCAUCCUCUCCCCUCCUGAGAUCUCACCGAGGAGGAGCAGGGCCGUGAGGUUGGGGGUCAUGGCGUCUCUGCCUCUGGCCCCGGCUGUGCAGAGGGAGGGACCUUGGUGCUUCGAGGACAGACAGAAGCACAGGGUGUGGCCACUUGGGGGCUGGCCUGCCUGGUCAUGGGGUUGUCACGUCAGCAGCCCCACAGGAAGGGGAACAGCCUGUUUCCAGGGGACCAACUCUGGUGUCCAUGAUGGUGCAGCAAGUGGACCCAAGGCUUCCUGAGAUGUCCCAUCCAGUCUCAAGGUACUCUCAAGUUGGGAGAAGUGUGAAGGUUAAUACAGAGAAACCCCACAAAAAAAGGAUCGUGAAGCCAGAAGGGGGAGCUUGCUCGCUACACCUCUUGGUCAAGAAUCCCCAAUCGCUGACCCCACAGAGGAAUCAUCAACAGUACAGGAUCCUCAAAUACAGGCCCCAACAGAGAAUGCUGGGAGGAGGCAAGAGCAGGUGGAAGAAGCCUUCGCUCACACUGGAGAAUUCCUUUCAACAUUCCCGUCCUGAAAUGAGUCUGCUUUUUGGAGUCCUGUGUAAACAGUGGUGGCAUCAUCCUACUUCCCUCAUUCACAAUGAGGAAAGGAGUGUGGGAUGGAAGUUGUGCAGACUGUGUCUCAGCUGGCUCCCCCCACCAGCAGGAAAUCCCAAGCCGCACGCGAAGCCUGUGACUUCACUUACUCCCCCCACCGGCAGGAAAUCCCAAAGACGCAUGCGCAGCCUGUGACGUCGCUUGCUCCCCCCACCAGCAGGAAAUCCCAAGGACGCAUGUGCAGCCUCUGACUUCGCUUGCUCCCCCCACCAGCAGGAAAUCACAAAGACGCAUGUGCAGUGUGUUGCAUCCCGGCCAGCCAGCUUUGCAGGCCUCACGGCAGUGCAUGCAUUGAACAGCUAACUGUGCCGGCCGAGUUCAGCUUCACUGUGACGAUGAGCUCAAGGAGGAAAAUGGGGGAAUAUGGUGAGAAAACAUGACUCUUCUCCUGGUCCCUGAUUGUGGGUUUUCUCCCUGCCAAGAGCCCUCAUCAUGGAUUUCCCUUUUCUUGCAACAGCGCCCACACAUCUUGCUAGAAACGUAGCCCCCUGGUGCCCCUUGUUUCUGUUCGCAGGUAUCCCCGCAUUGCUCUGGUCGUGCCUUCAGCUUUGGGCUCAGUCGGUUGGGUUUGUGCUCUGAAUAUGAAGGGAAAACUGACCUUUGUGUAAAGAUUCAACUAUCAAAAAAAAAAAAAAAAGAUUCAACUAUCAUCUAGUGACUAUGUGACUUUGAGAAAUAUCAUCCAGUCUCUGAGCCUGAGUUUCCUCCUUGGGAGAGGUUUGUCAUGAACCCUAGUGCUCAGAGCAGGUGUGGGGCCCGUGCUGUCAUGUUCAUGGGGUGGCUCAGUCAUCACUAAUUUCAGGCCAGAUGAAGAGUCUUGGAACAGGUGCAUGAGAGGAUGCGUUGUCUGACUCCACUGUCUAGGUAGACAAUGGAUGGGCUCACUCAAGAGCCCUGGUUCGUUCCUAACACCGAGAGAUGCUAUUUAUCAUAUUUCUGAAAAAUGUAGCCACAGCCAAGUGCAGAAGAGGAGAAAACAAAGUUCCCAAAUUGAGGAACCUCAACAGAUAACAAGAGGUCAAAGCUGAGUGGCCACCGGUGUCUGGGACCAACAAGGGGUCAUCAGUGUGGAUGUUUCCCCUCUGUGUGGACAUGAGAGGAACCCCAGGUCUUCACAGGCAAGGAUGGGAUCAGAUCUCUGGUGAGUUUGGAGGCUGUGUUGCUCCCUUCUCCAUUUUUGUGGUUGGGCACUGGGAUGUUUUUGCCAACAGAACCAGCCGUGGUCAGCACUGAGCCAUGGCCCCAUGUAUGCAGAAGAGAAUUCACUGUAGUGCAGGAAGACGUGGACCUCUGUGAGUGUGAGCCCUACAUUGGACCCAACUAUGCGUGCAAGACACAACUAUGCAUGGACACUAAGUUUGUGGGAGUGGAUGUCACAGGGCAAAACAACUGCAGGCGUGCCUGCCUAAUCGUGAAUGACUCCCAGUGCAGCUGUAGGAGGAAACCUUUGUGGAAAAUAAGGUGUGUGGAAAUUCAGCCCUCCCAACAGGAGUAUACUGCAAAGAGGAGUCCUGAUAAGAAGAAACAGUGCUACAAAGUCAAUCUUAAUGCUCACUGAGAAUUCUGCUAAUAUAUCCAUGGACAUACAGUGCCAGGAAUAUGUAGACUUAUCUUAAAUUAGGUAUGUGUUUCAUAUCAUAAAGAUGAUGGAGGAACUUGAAUUUUAAAGAAAAAUCUUUAUUUUUGAGAGAGAGAGAACAGGAAAGAGUGGGGGAUGGGCAGAGAGAGGGGGACAGAGAAUCGGAAGUGGGCUGUGGGCUGAUGGCAGUGAACCAAGUGCGGGGCUCAGAUUCACAAACCACGAGCUCGUGACCAGAGCCGAAGUGGAACGCUCAACCUAUUGUGCCACCCAGGUGCCCCCGGAACUUGCAUUUUUGAGAAAAGAAUAUGAUUGAUACUUGAAGAAGCAAUGAUAGAAAUGAGUUAGAAAUUUUAAUGGUGAAGAAUCCAGUUGAGUGAAUACGUUCUAAGCUUUCAUUCUGUCAAGGGGAAGACCUGCCUGAAGAGUUUGUCAGGAAGCUGGAACACAAUAUUGAGGAAACUUUCCAGACUGCGGAAUAGGCCAGAAAUGGAGAUUUCAGGUACUUGGGAGUAGAAUGAGGAGGGCCAAGGUCACAUCUACUGUGUCAGGAAGAAAGGACGGAGAAUGCUGUCUCCCAACUGCCCAAGAGGCAAGUAAUUUGAGUAUUUUCCAAAGAUGAGGAAAGACCAUUUAAAUGGUAGUGGAUGCACAUUUAAAAAUAAAACCCGUAUGUUGACACUUCAUAGUAAAAUGAAGAAAUCCAGGGUAAAUUAGAUUUUAAAAAUCGUACAUUGAAUUGUACCUGUAAAAAUGGUUAAUGUUAUUCUUUGUGAAUUUCACCUCAAUUGAAAAAUAUGCAACAGAGGCUUGUUGGGUCUGCAGAAACGUCCUAAAAUUACUUCCUGGGGAAAGUGCAAAGGCCACCUCCAGGCUACAUUUCCCAAAGGUAAAAAUGGGUGCCAGAAGCUACUGACAAAUAUCCCCAAGGAAUGAAGUGUUGGUAGGGAAUUGUAUACUGAGCCAAAUUACUACUGAGGCCAAUAGUGAAAGCAUCUGCAGAGACAAAUUCGUAAAUUCUGUGGAAUCAUGUCACCCCAUCUGCCCUGUUAGGAUUCAUGUCCCACAUGUUAAAGUCACCAGGUCAGGGUGUGCCUUCAAGAGAGAUGAGGAGGGGUUGUGGGUUCUUUCCUCAACCACCAGAUUGAUUUCCCCUCCAAGCAUGUGCAUUUUGUCCUCUCCUUGAAAAGAAAAAAAAUUAUGAAGUAUCUGGAUAAAGAAAGAGAACACUGUCUGCCAAAGGAAAUCUUUGUGGUGGUUUCCAAAGUCUCCCAUACUAUCUAAUCUUUCCCCAACCUCAUAUAAUUAAAAAGUUUAUAAGUGUAAUGCCUAUUUUGAAAGCUUGUUUGUACGAAUAGAAAGUCAUUUCUUUAAAAUCUUGUUGGCCAUUUUGUUCUGGUAUUUAGAUAGAAUUUAAGGUACUACUGAAAUAUGGUUAUAAAAAAGAAAAUAAGGCAUUUCAGA